ACCUCCCUCCCUGGAAGGGACCAAUCUGCUGACAGAGCCAGUGUAGUGUUUCAUUUUAAAGGGCAUUGGUUAGCUUAAAUAGUGGGGUUUUGCUAACUUGGCUCUUUUAGACUGAAAUUAAUUAGGGUGCUUGCCAACCUUCACCCCUUAGGCCAGCUGCUUAUGGGCUCCAUGUGUGUUCACAUCCUGAAGCACAGUUGAAGAGCCUGUUUGUCUCUCAUGUGCACUGGCAGAUGGGGGCUGCAUCGAGGACCUGCAAAGUCUACAAUUGCAAAUGGGACUUAAAUUCCAGGGUGGUAGGAGUCCAAUAUUUGACCUCAGCAGGAGAACUACAAAGCUAGCAAUGGCCAAGGAAGAAACAGAACUCUAAUCAAGACUGAAUUAAUGCUGACGUGAUGAUUUGAAACCCAACAUGAAAAAUAGAACAACAGCAGAUCUGCCCGUAUAUGGUCUGAUAUUGCCACCCAGCCUGAAUUGCUGUUGAGAGCUUGUAAUUUAUUGCACGAGCAUGCCUGAUUGCUGUCAUUGUGCCAGAGGUUUGAUACUCCUGAAAUCUGAAUGGGGAAGGAGAGUAGAUCAUAUCUGAAAAUAAACUAUGAAAUUAAAAUUUCUGUGGCAGAGGCUUGAUUACCAUAUCUUCAGAUAAGCAGCUGGAGGUUACUGAGUAUGAAUUUCAUAAGGAUCAUAUGGUGCUAUUAAUACUCAGCAUUUUUUUCUGUAAAUCUAUACAAUGAAACUGAGCAUUUUUUUCUCUACCUCAUGGCUUUAGAAACCAAACCGUACAAGUAUAGGGACAGAUUUUGCAUGAAAAAGGAGUUUGAAUUCCAAUUCCCUCUUGUGGCAGAAACCCAAGUCCACACAGGACUUGAUUUAGAGAAAAACUAAAACAAAAUAAAACCACUGGAAAUUCUUUAAUGGAUUACAAUUGGAUUUGAAACAGACCACUCUCAGCUGCAUCAGAGAGGCAUAACAGAGCCUCUCUAUGUCCUCCAGCUAGUGACCAAAGCAAAACAGUGCAGCAGUAACAGCUUCAGACAGCUACGAUUUAAAUCAAAGGUCUGAUCUUCUGCUGAUUUUCAUCCUUUCCACACUCACUGAAUCAGAGACUCACUGAAUCAGAAUGGGUAUGCUCAGAAGGGACCAGAGUGCCUCAUCUGGUCCAGCAUUGCAGAGAAUAAUUACAUUACUGUGGGCCUAUAGGCUGAUUGCAUUGAAACAAACACCUUGUUAAAAUUUGUAUUACCAGCUGUUCUCCUUGUAUGUCUCAAUUUUAAGACAGUAGCCAAUGAAACUGUCAUUUUGGCUCUCAUCACUUGGGGUUCUAGCUCAGUGUAAGGCCAUCUCCAGUCUUCAGGCACUGUUAGAAGUACUUUCUUUUAAAACAAACUUCCAUGAAAUCACUUCUGUGUCUACAGGUUCCAGAACCUCGACACUGUGUUGCUGACAUUUUAGGCUUUGGCAAUACAGUAAAACAAUUACAUUAGGUGGGGUUUCCCUUCUACUUUAGAGAUCUUGAGCACAGCUUCUUCCAUCCUGACAGCAGCCACUUGACAUUCAAAGCAUACUAGGGGCAGAUAAUGUACUAAGAACAAUGACAAAUUAAUCCAAAAACAUUUUAGAAAAGCAAUGAAUAACAGGCUUUAAUUGCUACAGCCAUGUUGGUCAAAAAAUUCCCUAAAUCUACUAAAUCUAUAUUCAACCACACCCUAGCCAGUUGUUUCAAGACUGCAGGACCAAGCCCAUUAGUACUGGCGCCUCUAUUUAUAUUUUUACAGUAGUACAUGGUUCAAUUUAUAUGUUAGUUUAUUUAUGCCCAAAUAUGUAAUAGAAUUACAACUGACAUGGCAUACAUGGUUUAAUAUUGAGUAGGCUAUAUUGAAAUCAGGGAGGCAUUUGAGGUGCAACAUGCUAUUUAGAUAAGCUAGAAGAGAAAGUCCAAAUUAAAAAAUACAAUGAAAAAUGUUUAUCUCGAAUUUAUUUUCAAACUCUUUGUAAUAGUUUGGUUGUUUUGUCUCCCUUCAUGGCUCAUAAGAACGACAUCUGUUCUUACUGAUAACCUGCAAACUGCACAUCUGCUAUCAGAAUUUCAUAUCAGAUACCUUCUGUCUUCAUCAUGGCUUGCUUGUUUAUAUGCUUAAGGUGCUGUAUUUGUUACUGAAUAUGUAAGCUCUUUGAAGCAGCUAUUUUUGCAAGAUCUUGAAGUGA